rnacentral:rRNA from 1 species
UAGGGAAUCUUCGGCAAUGGGGGCAACCCUGACCGAGCAACGCCGCGUGAGUGAAGAAUGUUUUCGGAUCGUAAAGCUCUGUUGUAAGUCAAGAACGGGUGUGAGAGGGGAAAGUUCACACUGUGACGGUAGCUUACCAGAAAGGGACGGCUAACUACGUGCCAGCAGCCGCGGUAAUACGUAGGUCCCGAUCGUUGUCCGGAUUUAUUGGGCGUAAAGCGAGCGCAGGCGGUUUGAUAAGUCUGAAGUUAAAGGCUGUGGCUCAACCAUAGUUCGCUUUGGAAACUGUCAAACUUGAGUGCAGAAGGGGAGAGUGGAAUUCCAUGUGUAGCGGUGAAAUGCGUAGAUAUAUGGAGGAACACCGGUGGCGAAAGCGGCUCUCUGGUCUGUAACUGACGCUGAGGCUCGAAAGCGUGGGGAGCGAACAGG